GGGUUGUGAGGUUAAGCGACUAAGCGUACACGGUGGAUGCCCUGGCAGUCAGAGGCGAUGAAGGGCGUGCUAAUCUGCGAUAAGCGCCGGUAAGGUGAUAUGAACCGUUAUAACCGGCGAUACCCGAAUGGGGAAACCCAGUGUGACUUGUCACACUAUCAUUAACUGAAUCCAUAGGUUAAUGAGGCGAACCGGGGGAACUGAAACAUCUAAGUACCCCGAGGAAAAGAAAUCAACCGAGAUUCCCCCAGUAGCGGCGAGCGAACGGGGAGGAGCCCAGAGCCUGAAUCAGCAUGUGUGUUAGUGGAAGCGUCUGGAAAGGCGCGCGAUACAGGGUGACAGCCCCGUACACAAAAGCGCAUGUGCUGUGAGCUCGAUGAGUAGGGCGGGACACGUGGUAUCCUGUCUGAAUAUGGGGGGACCAUCCUCCAAGGCUAAAUACUCCUGACUGACCGAUAGUGAACCAGUACCGUGAGGGAAAGGCGAAAAGAACCCCGGCGAGGGGAGUGAAAAAGAACCUGAAACCGUGUACGUACAAGCAGUGGGAGC
rnacentral:rRNA from 1 species